AGCGCAUGGAGGGAGGCUCCGCCAGCGUGCCUCCGUCGCUGAUGUGCUGAUCCCUCCUCCUCGUCUCCUCCAUGAUGCCUCUGGUGGCCGCGUGAUGUUCCGCCUUGCGUGACAGAGGGGAGCGGCGCAGGCGGCGGCCGCGGACCUCGCCGUUCCCUGCACCGACCGAUGAUUCGAGGUGAAGCCUAGCCCCGCUGCUGCUUUUUUCCUUCAACAGGAGGUGCCCCUGUCUCCAUAGUCUUUGCAUCGCAAGGCAGUAUGAGGCUUCGAUGGCAUCUGGCCAGUGUGGAACCGGUUGAGGAUUUUCCUGCCAACUAGUGCUCAGUUCAAGGAUCUUCUGGUUGGUGUCCAUGGUUUGUUAGGUGCAUCUUGUGCUGCUCUUCCUCAGGCGGCAGGCCCACAUGAUGUGUUCAACACUGCUUCGUCAAUGUCAUGGAGAAUGCCAACCGUCAGUGCAGCUCCUCACCCUCCUACGCCUCUUCUCCGGUGGUCACUUGACUUCUAAAUGAGCGAGGACGAGCUUGCUGGUUCCACAUCUCACAAGGAGGAGGUCGAUGGGAUAAUCUCCAAUGGUGUGGAGCUUCAUCACUUCUGCUAAAUGGCUCACUGAGCUGUUGUUUCUGCAGCCUGUGACGUCGACCGAGAUUAUAUCUCAUUGAUGUGCUCAUUAGUCAUUUCUACAAAAAACCAAGCAGAUUCUUCGCUGUUUUGGUCUCUUGAUUGAGCGCAGAUGAAGAGAUUCUUGGAUUCAGUAAAGAUUCAAGCAUUUGGCAUGUGAUUUGACACUGCUUCGUCAAUGUCAUGGAGGAUGCCAACCGUCAGUGCAGCUCCUCACCCUCCUAUGCCUCAUCUCCGGUGGUCACUGGACUUCUAAAUGAGAUUGUUUGAAUGCUCAGCGAGGGCGAGCUUGCUGGUUCCACAUCUCACAAGGAGGAGGUCAAUGGGGUAAUCUCCAAUGGUGUGGAGCUCCAUCACUUCUGCUAAAUGGCUCACUGAGCUGUUGUUUCUGCAGCCCGUGACGUC